GAUGAACGCUGGCGGCGUGCCUAAUACAUGCAAGUCGAGCGAACAGACGAGGAGCUUGCUCCUCUGAUGUUAGCGGCGGACGGGUGAGUAACACGUGGAUAACCUACCUAUAAGACUGGGAUAACUUCGGGAAACCGGAGCUAAUACCGGAUAACAUGUUGAACCGCAUGGUUCAACAGUGAAAGACGGUUUUGCUGUCACUUAUAGAUGGAUCCGCGCCGCAUUAGCUAGUUGGUAAGGUAACGGCUUACCAAGGCAACGAGGCGUAGCCGACCUGAGAGGUGGGACGCCCACCCGGGACCAGAGCCCCGUCCCAGACCCCGGGGGGGGGAACCGGGGGGGAAUCUUCCGGAAGGGGGAAAAGCCGGACGAGACACCGCCGCGGGAGUGAAGAGGUUCUUCGGAUGGAAAAGUUUUGUUGUUGGGAAAGAAAAAAUGUUAAGGUAACUAGGCACGUCUUGACGGUACCAAAACAAAAAGCCCCGGCUAACUCCGUG
rnacentral:rRNA from 1 species